rnacentral:rRNA from 1 species
AUUGAACGCUGGCGGCAGGCCUAACACAUGCAAGUCGAACGGUAACAGGAAGACGCUUGCUUCUUUGCUGACGAGUGGCGGACGGGUGAGUCAUGUCUGGGAAACUGCCUGAUGGAGGGGGAUAACUACUGGAAACGGUAGCUAAUACCGCAUAACGUCGCAAGACCAAAAAGGGGGACCUUCGGGCCUCUUGCCAUCGGAUGUGCCCAGAUGGGAUUAGCUAGUAGGUGGGGUAACGGCUCACCUAGGCGACGAUCCCUAGCUGGUCUGAGAGGAUGACCAGACACACUGGAACUGAGACACGGUCCAGACUCCUACGGGAGGCAGCAGUGGGGAAUAUUGCACAAUGGGCGAAAGCCUGAUGCAGCCAUGCCGCGUGUAUGAAGAAGGCCUUCGGGUUGUAAAGUACUUUAAGCGGGGAGGAAGGGAGUAAAGUUAAUACCUUUGCUCAUUGACGUUACCCGCAGAAGAAGCACCGGCUAACUCCGUG